UACGUAGGGGGCAAGCGUUGUCCGGAAUCAUUGGGCGUAAAGAGCGCGUAGGCGGCCCUGUAAGUCCGCUGUGAAAGUCAAGGGCUCAACCCUUGAAUGCCGGUGGAUACUGCAGGGCUAGAGUCCGGAAGAGGCGAGUGGAAUUCCUGGUGUAGCGGUGAAAUGCGCAGAUAUCAGGAAGAACACCCGUGGCGAAGGCGGCUCUCUGGGACGGUACUGACGCUGAGACGCGAAAGCGUGGGAGCGAACAGGAUAGAAACCCUGGGU
rnacentral:rRNA from 1 species